CAUUCAUCGAGUGAGGCUCAACUCGGGGACCAGUUAAAAUUACAGUUUUGUUUGGGAUAAACUUUAAGUGCCUGCUUUACUUCAGUGAUGGAAAAGGAGUUGUGUGAGACAGCAGAGCACUUCAGGGUCAAGAACUCAGUCCCUACAAUCAAGGUAGGAUCGAGUAUCGUGGAGAGAACCGGUGCCUCUAGUGAGUGGCUGCCCAGGUUACAGACUUGAAGCUACGUUCACAAAUGCUCUGAAGACAGAACUUUUAUAUUUUGAAAGCGGAGUUAUGCUGUCGGUCAAGUUGCCUAUGACUAACACACAAGGAUCAAGAAUGCUGACUUAGUUCACAGGUCACUGGAUCAAGAGAUGGCCACACCCAGAGUUAUGCAGAUAACUCCACAUGCCCCAGAAGUCCAGAUCACCUCGGAGGUGCUGAAUGCAGUGAGCAGGUGUGUUUCUGUCAGAGUACUUGGAAAACCAUUACAUUGAAAAUGUUGCUAUCUUUUGUGUUUGAAGGUAACACUAUUUACCCAAUUUCUUUUUUUCUUUGGUUCUGAUUGAAAAUAGUAUUAUAUUAUAAAAACUAAUGUUUCCUACAUUGGGGACCCAGGAAAACUGCCUUGGGGCCUGCAUCUUAGGGUUCUGCUAUGGGCUAAAUGUUUGUAUCUUCCUAAAAUUCAUGUGUUUAAACCUAACCACCAAUGUGAUGGUAUUAGGAGGUGGAAACAUUGGAAGGUGAUACGGUUUAGCCUUAUAAAACAGGCUACAGAGAACUGCCUUGCCCCUUCCACCACGUGUGGACACAGCAAGAAGGCACCAUCUAUGAAUCAGAAAACAGUCUCCCACCAGAGAGUGAAUCUGCAGUGCCUUGAUCUUAGACUUCCCAGCCUUCAGAACUGUGAGAAAUAAAUUUCUGCUGUUUAUAAGCUACCUAGUUUCUGUUAUAUUUUAUGGAAGCCCAAGUGAACUAAGAUGGGUUUCUGUUUGUAGAAUCAGCUGCUUUUCCUUUUAAAAAAAUUGUAGGUUUUUUUUAUUACUUACAACAGUAAUAUGUGAUUAUUGUAAAAAAAAAAAAAAUGAAACAUUACAGAAACACAUGGCCUGUAAAGGAAACAUUUUCCAUAAUCCCAACUUUCUUUCAAAGGUUUGGCAUAUGAUUGUGUUCAUUCUGUUUAAUGAAUAUACCAACUUAUAUGCGAGCGCUUUAACAAGAAUGGGAUCAUACUAACAUGUUCUGCAAUUUGAGUUUUUUUAACAUCAGGCAUCUUGGAUAAGUUCCACAUCUUUCUGCCACGUCUCUCUCUCUCUUGCUGUCUCUCUUUGUCUCUCUGUAAUUGGUGUGUAGUGUUCUAUGGUGAGGUGUACCUAUUGUAACUCUGCAGUUUCCUUUCUAGGUGGUUUGCUGCCUUUAGUCAACAGAAUACCAGAGAUCCCACCCAUGCAUGGUAUCUCAAGGGCUGGAGGAGAAAAAAAAGACAGCCAAGUGGGAGCGCCCUCAUUUGAGACUGUAUUUGAAUGAGCACCUGGUGGUCACGACUGCUCCACUCUCGCUAGCCUUAAGGAGGACAGGAAUUUUGCCUUGUCGUUCCUCUACACUCUCCACACCAUUCUGCAGAUGGACUGCAAGGACGAGCUAGCAAUCCCAAGAGGACCCACGGACCCUCUGAAGGAAGGGAAGCUGCCCC